rnacentral:rRNA from 1 species
GGCUCAGAACGAACGCUGGCGGCGUGGAUUAGGCAUGCAAGUCGAACGAGAAAGGUUCUUCGGAAACUGAGUACAGUGGCAAACGGGUGAGUAACGCGUGGGAAACCUGCCCUCUGGUUGGGGACAACACUCCUAACGGGGUGCUAAUACCGAAUAUUAUCGCAUUAUCGCAUGGUGAAGCGAUGAAAGGCGGCCUCUGCUUGCAAGCUGCCACCAGAGGAUGGUCCCGCGUCCCAUUAGCUUGUUGGUGAGGUAACGGCUCACCAAGGCGACGAUGGGUAGCCGGCCUUAGCGGGUGACCGGCCACACUGGGACUGAGAUACGGCCCAGACUCCUACGGGAGGCAGCAGUCGAGAAGCUUCCACAAUGGGGGAAACCCUGAUGGAGCGACGCCGCGUGGGUGAUGAAGGUUUUCGGAUCGUAAAGCCCUUUCAGCAGGGACGAUAGAGACCGGUGUCAAUAGCGCCGGUAUUCAGACGGUACCUGCAUAAGAAGCUCCGGCUAACUCCGUGCCAGCAGCCGCGGUAAGACGGGGGGAGCAAGCGUUGUUCGGAUUUACUGGGCGUAAAGGGCGUCUAGGCGGGUGUGUAAGUCAGAUGUGAAAUCCCCCGGCUCAACCGGGGAACUGCAUUUGAUACUGCAUGUCUUGAGUUCGGGAGAGGGAAGCGGAAUUCCUGGUGUAGCGGUGAAAUGCGUAGAUAUCAGGAAGAACACCGGUGGCGAAGGCGGCUUCCUGGACCGAUACUGACGCUGAAGCGCGAAAGUGUGGGGAGCAAACAGGAUUAGAUACCCUGGUAGUCCACACUGUAAAC